GGUCGAAUCGUAUAACGGUUUAGUAUGGCCGCUUCACACCAAAAAUUGGGACCCGCGGCAGAUCCGGGUUCGAUUCCCGGUUCGACUA